rnacentral:rRNA from 1 species
AUACGUAGGUGGCAAGCGUUGUCCGGAAUUAUUGGGCGUAAAGCGCGCGCAGGCGGUCCUUUAAGUCUGAUGUGAAAGCCCACGGCUCAACCGUGGAGGGUCAUUGGAAACUGGGGGACUUGAGUGCAGAAGAGGAAAGUGGAAUUCCAAGUGUAGCGGUGAAAUGCGUAGAGAUUUGGAGGAACACCAGUGGCGAAGGCGACUUUCUGGUCGGUAACUGACGCUGAGGCGCGAAAGCGUGGGGAGCAAACAGGAUUAGAUACCCGGGUAGUCCACGCCGUAAACGAUGAGUGCUAAGUGUUAGGGGGUUUCCGCCCCUUAGUGCUGCAGCUAACGCAUUAAGCACUCCGCCUGGGGAGUACGGUCGCAAGACUGAAACUCAAAUGAAUUGACGGGG